rnacentral:ribozyme from 13 species
UUUUUUGUGUGUUUGUGGUUUUUUAACUUUUUUCUCUUCUUUGCCGAACCAAUUUCAUUUUUUUUUUGGAACGGAAGGGACGGACGAGGAAAGAAAGAAAAGAAAAGAAGAGA